rnacentral:rRNA from 1 species
UACGUAGGGUGCAAGCGUUAAUCGGAAUUACUGGGCGUAAAGCGUGCGCAGGCGGCUUUGCAAGACAGAUGUGAAAUCCCCGGGCUCAACCUGGGAACUGCAUUUGUGACUGCAUGGCUAGAGUACGGUAGAGGGGGAUGGAAUUCCGCGUGUAGCAGUGAAAUGCGUAGAUAUGCGGAGGAACACCGAUGGCGAAGGCAAUCCCCUGGACCUGUACUGACGCUGAGGAGCGAAAGCGUGGGGAGCGAACAGG